CUGUCCUUCCUCGACGCUCAUCAUUCUCUCGCCAACCCCGUUUCCGAACAGGAGCCCGUGGAGAGAUCGAGGGAGCGAGGGAGAGAAAGAGAGAGGGAGGGUGUGUGAGAGACAGAGAGAGAGAGAGGGAGAGAGAGAGAAGGGGAACGAGCAGAAAACACGGGUGAGAAGACUCCCUCUGAAGUAGCGCACCUCCCCCCCCCCCCCCCCCCCCCAGAGAGAAGGACACGGAACGGGCGACAACUCCCACUCGCCGCAGACUGGAUUGGAAUGUAGGAGACGGCAGCGCAAGAUGGGGGAAAGGAGAGAGAAAAAAAACAACACACAUCUUCUUGACCUCUCUCGCACCGCCCGAGACGCAGGGCGGAAGUUGGCCUCUGUCUUUGGUUAUCUAGCUGUAUGAGUAUAACUGAUCUAUCAUAAAGCUAGAUAACCGAAAGUAGAAUCCACUUCCACAGCUUCGGGGAGAGGAAGAGCGGUCACACGGCGAGCAGAAACGCCAAGAAUCAGAAAAGAAAACUCGCGGUCACAGUCAUCAGAUCGACUGGAGACAAUACGACCACCACAGGCCGCGAAACGACAUUUCCUGAAGCAAACGUGAAAAGACUGGAGAGGAGGGAGUGGCGACCCUUAAUCAUAAAUACAAACGACAUCGUCCGUGCUUGCAUCGGCACAUACUUCGAUAAGAACAAAACACAAUACGCCUUCAAAUCCCACCUGAAGACUGCGAUUUCUUUAGCUUUCCCGAUGAUACAGCGCUUCUGGAGACGUGAAGCUGUCGCCGUGAGCCAGGAGGGGCAACAGGCUGGAAGGCAAACGAGGAUGGCCUGAAUGGCCAGCUGGCAGCCAUUUUGUAUGAGAGAGAGAGAGACAGAGAGAUGGAGCUUGCAGCCAUCUUGAGGGGUGGGGCUGCAGUUCCUAUCGUGGACGCUUUGCCACACAGUGUGGCAUAAGGUAAGUAAUGCAAUUCUCAAUUCCACAAUCGCGCCCUCCAAUGACACCUCCACAACAACCCACCCCCCCCAACUCUACUUUGCUCAUUACACUAAUUACCUAAGCACCGAGCAAUAAAUGUAACUCGAGUGACCCAAUCCUGUCUCUCGUAUUCUUUCAAGCAGAUAAUGUGCCCUUGAUUUUAAUUAAAUUAACAUGAUUUCAGAUUUCUUUGAUCAGUCCUUCCAUCCUUUUUAUAGAUUGGUGAUGAAUGGAACGACCUGCAUCUUAUUCGGUAAAACGCAGCGAUUUUACCAAAUAAUUGACGUUGUGUAAAUAGUUUUUAAAGAGACUGUAUAUCACUUUUCUGAUUAAUAUCGGGCAAAUCUAUUUUUAAAGAAUGACUUUAAAUAAAAAAACACGACGAAUAAGUAAUAAAGAACAUUCGAUCGGUUUAAUUCUGAAGAAAUUUUACAGGAAUAAAUUUAUUUUUUAUAUCUGCAUCUGGUUAUCUUUACGUUAGUGUGUGUAUUUUCUCUUAUUUUUAUUGCUUCUUUCUGAUUGUUGAAUUUCUAACAAUGCUGGUGGUCUUCACAAAUCGGCCUUUUGCUGGGGUCUUGCUUAAAUGGUACCUCUCUGACCACAGACCCAGAGAGUGAGUGGAUCCAAGGGUCUUCAGUGCCAUAGCUCACAAUGCUGACCUUGCCUCAUUUUUCUGUAUGGGGCCAAGAGGAAGGAGAUCAGGAUCAAGAAUGCAAGGCAGACUCUUCUCCUUCCAACCUUUUCCUGGACAUCCCACCUCCUUAAUUUUUGAAGCUGUUUCUUGCAAGAAAACAUCUCAGCUGAAAUUGCUGCAUUUAUUAACAUUUGCAACAAUUUAAUCAUUCCACAUCAUGUAUUCAACCCAAUUAAUAUGAUCAUGCAAUUUGCUGUCACUCUUAACUCUUUAAGUGCUGAUCCUUAGUGCAGAGCUAUUGCAUGUUCAACACAGAAGGACCCAUUGCUGCACUGACAUUGCAACAUAGAAAAUAGGUGCAGAAGGGGGC